rnacentral:rRNA from 1 species
AUAUGCUUGUCUCAAAGAUUAAGCCAUGCAUGUCUAAGUUUAAGCAAACAAACAGUGAAACUGCGAAUGGCUCAUUAAAUCAGUUAUAAUCUAUUCGACGUCCUAAUUUAAUUACUACUCGGAUAACCGUGGUAAUUCUAGAGCUAAUACGUGCCUUGAAAGUCCUGACCUUUAUGGAAGGGAUGCAGUUAUUAGAUACAGAACCAAUCGGGGCAACCCGUUUUUUGGUGAUUCAUGAUAACCUUGCAGAUCGCAUGGCCUUGUGCUGGCGAUGGGUCGUUCGAAUUUCUGCCCUAUCAACUUUUGACGGUAGGAUAGAGGCCUACCGUGGUGAUAACGGGUAACGGGGAAUUAGGGUUCGAUUCCGGAGAGGGAGCCUGAGAAACGGCUACCACAUCCAAGGAAGGCAGCAGGCGCGCAAAUUACCCAAUCCUGAUACAGGGAGGUAGUGACAAUAAAUAACGAUGCGGGACUUUUUAGUCUUCGCAAUUGGAAUGAGUACAAUUUAAAUCCC